GACAGGGGGGCAAGUGUUCUUCGGAAUGACUGGGCGUAAAGGGCACGUAGGCGGUGAAUCGGGUUGAAAGUGAAAGUCGCCAAAAAGUGGUGGAAUGCUCUCAAAACCAAUUCACUUGAGUGAGACAGAGGAGAGUGGAAUUUUGUGUGUAGGGAUGAAAUCCGUAGAUCUAUGAAGGAACGCCAAAAGCGAAGGCAGCUCUCUGGGUCCCUACCAACGCUGGGGUGCGAAAGCAUGGGGAGGGAACAUG
rnacentral:rRNA from 1 species